GAUGAACGCUGGCGGCGUGCUUAACACAUGCAAGUCGAACGGUGAACACGGAGCUUGCUCUGUGGGAUCAGUGGCGAACGGGUGAGUAACACGUGAGCAACCUGCCCCUGACUCUGGGAUAAGCGCUGGAAACGGCGUCUAAUACUGGAUAUGUGACGUGACCGCAUGGUCUGCGUUUGGAAAGAUUUUUCGGUUGGGGAUGGGCUCGCGGCCUAUCAGCUUGUUGGUGAGGUAAUGGCUCACCAAGGCGUCGACGGGUAGCCGGCCUGAGAGGGUGACCGGCCACACUGGGACUGAGACACGGCCCAGACUCCUACGGGAGGCAGCAGUGGGGAAUAUUGCACAAUGGGCGCAAGCCUGAUGCAGCAACGCCGCGUGAGGGAUGACGGCCUCCGGGUUGUAAACCUCUUUUAGCAGGGAAGAAGCGAAAGUGACGGUACCUGCAGAAAAAGCGCCGGCUAACUACGUG
rnacentral:rRNA from 1 species